GAUGUCCCCAUAGGGAAGUAUUGCUUCCCCAGUGUCCCCAUAAGGAAGGGCUGCUGUCCCUGUGUCCCCAUAGGGAAGGGCUGCUGUCCCUGUGUCCCCAUAGGGAAGCAUUGAGGUCCCCAUAGGGAAGUGCUGCUGUCCCCAUGUCCCCAUAGGGAAGCAUUGAGGUCCCCAUAGGGAAGUGCUGCUGUCCCUGUGUCACUGCAGCAUCCCUGUGUCCCCAUAGGGAAGGGCUGCAGUCCCCAUGUCCCCCUAGGGAAGCAUUCAUGUCCCCAUAGGGAAGUACUGCUGCCUCAUUGUCCCCAUAGGGAAGGGCUGCUGUCCCUGUGUCACUGCGGUGUCCCCAUAGGGAAGGGCUGCUUUCCCCGUGUCCCCAUAGGGAAGUGCUGCUGCCCUGUGUCACUGCAGUGUCCCCGUGUCCCCACAGGGAAGUGCUGCUGUCUCCGUGUCACUGCAGUGCCCCCACGUCCCCAUAGGGAAGGGCUGCUGUCCCCAUGUCCCCAUAGGGAAGCAUUCAUGUCCCCAUAGGGAAGGGCUGCUGUCCCCAUGUCCCUAUAGGGAAGCAUUGAGGACCCCAUAGGGAAGUACUGCUUUCCCGUUGUCCCCGUAAGGAAGUGCUGCUGUCCCUGUGUCACUGCAGCGUCCCCGUGUCCCCAUAGGGAAGCGUUCAUGUCCCCAUAGGGAAGUACUGCUGCCUCAUUGUCCCCGUAGGGAAGUGCUGCUGUCCCUGUGUCACUGCAGUGUCCCCGUGUCCCCAUAGGGAAGUGCUGCUUUCCCCGUGUCACUGCAGUGUCCCCAUAGGGAAGGGCUGCUGUCCCCGUGUCCCCAUAAGGAAGUGCUGCUGUCCCCAUAGGGAAACAUAGAUGUCCCCAUAGGGAAGGGCUGCUGUCCCUGUGUCACUGCAGUGUCCUUGGGUCUGCAUAAGGAAGUGCUGCUGUCCCCGUGUCCCCGUAGGGAAGUGCUGCUGUCCCUGUGUCACUGCAGUGUCCCCAUAGGGAAGGGCUGCUGUCUCUGUGUCACUGCAGCG
rnacentral:lncRNA from 1 species